GUUUGUCGGUUUGAUUUCUGGAAGAUCCACACGAGCCCUUUUCGAAUUCGAAUGUGAAAGUCAGAAAGUACAUGCUUUUUUGCUAUUUGGUGAUGAGGUACGUAUAAUCGGCAGAU
rnacentral:rRNA from 1 species